rnacentral:rRNA from 1 species
GGUUAAGCGACUAAGCGUACACGGUGGAUGCCCUGGCAGUCAGAGGCGAUGAAGGACGUGCUAAUCUGCGAAAAGCGUCGGUAAGGUGAUAUGAACCGUUAUAGCCGGCGAUGUCCGAAUGGGGAAACCCAGUGCAAUUCGUUGCACUAUCGUUAACUGAAUACAUAGGUUAACGAGGCGAACCGGGGGAACUGAAACAUCUAAGUACCCCGAGGAAAAGAAAUCAACCGAGAUUCCCCCAGUAGCGGCGAGCGAACGGGGAGCAGCCCAGAGUCUGAAUCAGCUUGUGUGUUAGUGGAACGGUCUGGAAAGUCCGACGGUACAGGGUGAUAGUCCCGUACACCAAAAUGCACAGGCUGUGAACUCGAAGAGUAGGGCGGGACACGUGGUAUCCUGUCUGAAUAUGGGGGGACCAUCCUCCAAGGCUAAAUACUCCUGACUGACCGAUAGUGAACCAGUACCGUGAGGGAAAGGCGAAAAGAACCCCGGCGAGGGGAGUGAAAAAGAACCUGAAACCGUGUACGUACAAGCAGUGGGAGCACCUUCGGGUGUGACUGCGUACCUUUUGUAUAAUGGGUCAGCGACUUAUAUUCUGUAGCAAGGUUAACCGUAUAGGGGAGCCGCAGGGAAACCGAGUCUUAACUGGGCGUUAAGUUGCAGGGUAUAGACCCGAAACCCGGUGAUCUAGCCAUGGGCAGGUUGAAGGUUGGGUAACACUAACUGGAGGACCGAACCGACUAAUGUUGAAAAAUUAGCGGAUGACUUGUGGCUGGGGGUGAAAGGCCAAUCAAACCGGGAGAUAGCUGGUUCUCCCCGAAAGCUAUUUAGGUAGCGCCUCGUGAACUCAUCUUCGGGGGUAGAGCACUGUUUCGGCUAGGGGGUCAUCCCGACUUACCAACCCGAUGCAAACUACGAAUACCGAAGAAUGUUAUCACGGGAGACACACGGCGGGUGCUAACGUCCGUCGUGAAGAGGGAAACAACCCAGACCGCCAGCUAAGGUCCCAAAGUCAUGGUUAAGUGGGAAACGAUGUGGGAAGGCACAGACAGCCAGGAUGUUGGCUUAGAAGCAGCCAUCAUUUAAAGAAAGCGUAAUAGCUCACUGGUCGAGUCGGCCUGCGCGGAAGAUGUAACGGGGCUAAACCAUGCACCGAAGCUGCGGCAGCGACACUAUGUGUUGUUGGGUAGGGGAGCGUUCUGUAAGCCUGCGAAGGUGACCUGUGAGGGUUGCUGGAGGUAUCAGAAGUGCGAAUGCUGACAUAAGUAACGAUAAAGCGGGUGAAAAGCCCGCUCGCCGGAAGACCAAGGGUUCCUGUCCAACGUUAAUCGGGGCAGGGUGAGUCGACCCCUAAGGCGAGGCCGAAAGGCGUAGUCGAUGGGAAACAGGUUAAUAUUCCUGUACUUGGUGUUACUGCGAAGGGGGGACGGAGAAGGCUAUGUUAGCCGGGCGACGGUUGUCCCGGUUUAAGCAUGUAGGCUGGUUAUCCAGGCAAAUCCGGAUAAUCAAGGCUGAGGUGUGAUGACGAGGCACUACGGUGCUGAAGUAACAAAUGCCCUGCUUCCAGGAAAAGCCUCUAAGCAUCAGGUAACACGAAAUCGUACCCCAAACCGACACAGGUGGUCAGGUAGAGAAUACCAAGGCGCUUGAGAGAACUCGGGUGAAGGAACUAGGCAAAAUGGUGCCGUAACUUCGGGAGAAGGCACGCUGGUGUGUAGGUGAAGCCCCUGCGGGUGGAGCUGAGACCAGUCGAAGAUACCAGCUGGCUGCAACUGUUUAUUAAAAACACAGCACUGUGCAAACACGAAAGUGGACGUAUACGGUGUGACGCCUGCCCGGUGCCGGAAGGUUAAUUGAUGGGGUUAUCCGUAAGGAGAAGCUCUUGAUCGAAGCCCCGGUAAACGGCGGCCGUAACUAUAACGGUCCUAAGGUAGCGAAAUUCCUUGUCGGGUAAGUUCCGACCUGCACGAAUGGCGUAAUGAUGGCCAGGCUGUCUCCACCCGAGACUCAGUGAAAUUGAACUCGCUGUGAAGAUGCAGUGUACCCGCGGCAAGACGGAAAGACCCCGUGAACCUUUACUAUAGCUUGACACUGAACAUUGAGCCUUGAUGUGUAGGAUAGGUGGGAGGCUUUGAAGCGUGGACGCCAGUCUGCGUGGAGCCAACCUUGAAAUACCACCCUUUAAUGUUUGAUGUUCUAACGUUGGCCCCUUAUCGGGGUUGCGGACAGUGUCUGGUGGGUAGUUUGACUGGGGCGGUCUCCUCCCAAAGCGUAACGGAGGAGCACGAAGGUUAGCUAAUCCUGGUCGGACAUCAGGAGGUUAGUGCAAUGGCAUAAGCUAGCUUGACUGCGAGCGUGACGGCGCGAGCAGGUGCGAAAGCAGGUCAUAGUGAUCCGGUGGUUCUGAAUGGAAGGGCCAUCGCUCAACGGAUAAAAGGUACUCCGGGGAUAACAGGCUGAUACCGCCCAAGAGUUCAUAUCGACGGCGGUGUUUGGCACCUCGAUGUCGGCUCAUCACAUCCUGGGGCUGAAGUAGGUCCCAAGGGUAUGGCUGUUCGCCAUUUAAAGUGGUACGCGAGCUGGGUUUAGAACGUCGUGAGACAGUUCGGUCCCUAUCUGCCGUGGGCGCUGGAGAAUUGAGGGGGGCUGCUCCUAGUACGAGAGGACCGGAGUGGACGCAUCACUGGUGUUCGGGUUGUCAUGCCAAUGGCACUGCCCGGUAGCUAAAUGCGGAAGAGAUAAGUGCUGAAAGCAUCUAAGCACGAAACUUGCCCCGAGAUGAGUUCUCCCUGAGACUUUAAGUCUCCUGAAGGAACGUUGAAGACGACGACGUUGAUAGGCCGGGUGUGUAAGCGCAGCGAUGCGUUGAGCUAACCGGUACUAAUGAACCGUGAGGCUUAACCUU